GAGCCUUGAAUUCCUUUCACCUUUCGACCAACAAGAUGUAAAAUAUCCAUCCAGACAGGUAACCUCCUGGAGGAGAGGGCAGAGUGAGGCAUGGGCCUUUCUCUACCCUGAGGACCCUACCUGGAACGGCUCAGACUGGAACCUUAUGAACAAAAAAGGGAAGCCCCGUUUGUAGAGAGUAGAUGGACAGUGCUUAUGUAAAACACUCCCCAG